UACGUAGGGUGCAAGCGUUGUCCGGAAUUACUGGGCGUAAAGCGCACGUAGGCGGAUCGUUAAGUCGGGGGUGAAAUCCUGGAGCUCAACUCCAGAACUGCCUUCGAUACUGGCGAUCUUGAGUCCGGAAGAGGUGAGUGGAACUCCUAGUGUAGAGGUGGAAUUCGUAGAUAUUAGGAAGAACACCAGUGGCGAAGGCGGCUCACUGGUCCGGUACUGGACGCUGAGGUGCGAAAGCGUGGGGAGCAAACAGGG
rnacentral:rRNA from 1 species